rnacentral:tRNA from 1 species
GCUUUUAUAGUUUAAAUAAAAUGUUAAUUUUGUAAAUUAAAGAUAACAAAUUUGAAAGC